rnacentral:rRNA from 1 species
CCCUUAGAUGUUCUGGGCUGCACGCGCGCUACACUGAAGCUAUCAACACGUUUUCCCUCCCUGAGAAGGGCGGGUAACCUUUUGAAUCAGCUUCGUGGUAGGGAUCGGGGCUUGCAAUUGUUCCCCUUGAACCAGGAAUUCCUAGUAGACGCGAGUCAUAAGCUCGCAUCGAUUAAGUCCCUGCCCUUUGUACACACCGCCCGUCGCUACUACCGAUUGAACGUUUUAGUGAGGCAUUUGGACCGACGCAUCUCAGUUUAACCGCUGGUUUGUGUUGGAAAGACUUCCAAACUUGAGCGUUUAGAGGAAGUAAAAGUCGUAACA